GGGGAUGUAGGCAAGUGGCAGAGCACGUGCCUGGCAUUCAUGAAACUUUGGGUUCAAUUCCUAGCAUUGCCA
rnacentral:tRNA from 1 species